rnacentral:tmRNA from 1 species
GGGGUUGACUGGAUUUGACGGCGAGAUGAGAUGGUACGUAAGCACGCGGAGUGACGGCUGUAAACUCCAUAAUCCAUUCGGUCGAACAAUUAAUUGGCAACAACGAGUAUGCUCUCGCUGCCUAGUCGAAGCACAGUAGACUAGCUUUAUUUCCCCACAAGGUGAGGAAACGAGACGUCGCUCCAAGGGUGUGGUUCCGAAUCUGAGGAUCAAGCGGCGCAGGAAAAUCGGAAAUAGUCACGGCAGGCCUCGAUGUCGCGAUGAAGUUUUAGAGGAUAAGGCUGCGAUUGGUGGUCCAGGUCUUGUCGUAGCACGAAAAUGAAGUCUGGAAUAAGCGUGUAGAAAGCGUAUGGUUUCCUCGUUCGGACGAGGGUUCGACUCCCUCCAGCUCCACU